rnacentral:lncRNA from 1 species
AGACACAUUUCAUGUUGACUCAUCAAAGGGCCCCAUGCCCCCUCCUUUGAGACAAUCCUACCUCUAAAAGUAUGGUUUAAAUUUGCCAACCCAGUACAAAAAGGAAGAAUAUCAGGCCUCCUACAUAUUCACAACCGUCUGUCACUAGAUCUGGAGCAGCUUUUGGAAGCUUUUUAAGCCUCUCUCAAGUGUUUCCUUUCCUUACAUCCAGGUGAUUACUGCAUUCAAAAAAUAUUUUUCUCCCUUUCAGAAAUUCCAGAAUCCUGAAGUACAUCUGUAUCAGAAAUAAGCUACAUCUUUGGAGAAUAUAACUAUGGUUACAGUCAAGCAUCUGGAACCUUACUGAGAAAUGAAAUGAUUAGGAUGAUUAUGUUCUUAACAAGCUUAUACAACAUCUGCUAAUGUGAACUUGAGCUAUGGGGCAGGUUCAGCUCCAGCAGGCCAUGGUGGCUGUUUCUGAAGAGGACACAGGUGGUAAACCUCAGUGGUGUCUUUGCAGUACCAUCUCUGCCAGCUCGCAGAAUGCACAAGCUGUGGAAAUGUGGUCACCUCUACCUAGAUUUCAAAGGAUAAAGCCACUCAGAACUACUAUUAUGCAACUCAAGCAGAGAGGCACCACAAUGAUGGGGCCACUAGAAAAUUCCCACCAGGACAAUGCCUCACGGAGCUAUGGGAACAGGACUGUUCCUACAAACUUAUACUGAUACAACCACCAGUCUUGGAGAGCUAUAGACACAUGACUGUAAGCUGUGAGAGCUGUGGCAUGGGCUGCACUCAGUAAAGCAGUGAGGGUGGCCUUCCAGAAUCUUGAGGGCUCCAUCCCUGCUCCAGUAUUUCCAGGAGGUGGAACGCUGAGUCAAAGAUUACUCUCACAUCUUAAGAUUUAAUAUUGUUUGACCUGUGAGUUUCAGACUUACUUGGGAUAUGUUAACCAUUUAUUCUUUCUUAUUUCUUCUUUUUAGAGUGGGAAUGUCUGUCGUAUGCCUUUCUCACCAUUGUAUUUUGGAAGUGCUUCACUUGUUUGAUUUCACAGUUUAUGGGUGAAUAGAAAUUUGCCAGUAUGAAUUAUACCAUGAGUCUUACACAGCUGAUUUAGAUUAUAUUUAUAUGAGACUUUGAAACUAGACUUUAAAGUUGAUGCUGGAACUAGUUAAGACUGUGAGGGUUAUUAGGAUGGAACGAAUAUAUUUUGCAUGCAAGUAAGAUAUUAAUUUUGGAGAGCAAGGCGUAGAAAGCUGUGGUCUGAAUGUUCGUGCCUCCUCAUAAUCAUACGUUAAAACCUAAACCCAAGGUGAUAGUAUUAGGAGGUGAGGAUUUUGGGGAAAUGAUCAGAUCAUGAGGUCUCAUUAACAGAAUGAAUCACCUUUUAUAGAGACUCCAAAGAGCUUCCUCAUUCCUUCUGCUGUGUGAAGAAGACACAGCAAAAGGAUGGCCAUCUAUGAACCAGAAAAUGGAAUCUCACCAGCUACCAAAUCCACCAGCUCCUUCAUCUUAGGCUUUCCAACCAUGAGAAUUGUGUAAAAAUACAUUUCUCUGGUUUAUGAGCUAUCUAGUCUAUGAUACUUUUUUCUAGCAGGCUUAAAGGAUUAAGGUAUCUUUUUAUUUUUUCUAAUUUUAUUUAUUCUGUCUCCUUUGAGGGAAAAUAGGUCAAUAAGAAGAAGAACUUGUUUCUAGAUCAGUCAUUAUUUCCUGAGUGACUAUGGCUGAACUACCGCUAUAGCCUUCAGUUUCCUCAUUCACAUAAAAUGACUUGAAAUUGAUAAUCUCAUUAAAUUAUAUGAGUCUCUUCAAUUUCAGUAGCUCUCUUGGUUUAACAAUGUACUUAUUUAUUUUUGUCCACUAAAUGUACUACUUAUUUUUAGUAAGUGACCCAGUGUGCAAAAGGCCACGUGGAUGAGUAACUGCUUAAGGCUCAGGAAUCUCAGCUUUGGUCAUAGCUCUGCCAUCAAUUUUCUGAAGACUUUUGCUUGAUUUCUGUAAACCUAGAUUUUCUCAUAUAUAACAUAAAAGCAUAAGGAAACAAAAAUUUCUGGUUCCUACCCACUACUUUUUUUCUCUGUAACAAACUACAACAUUUUAUAAAUUUGUAUUUCCUCAAAAUAUAUUAUUUCUGCUAUUUACAAAAAGAAGGCUUUCUCUUAAAUUUUCCUCAGUAAUCUGCAGUGUUAAAAACACAUUUCAAAAGUUAAUGCAUGUUAUCAUAUCAAUCAACUAAAGGUCAUAAAUUCAUACACUUGUCUACUACAACUCUUUCAUUCAAAGCUCAAAUUUUUCCAAUGACAUUUUAAAUAUUUUCUUUGAGUAAUAGUGGAAAAUGUCUAAUUAAUCUUUAUGCAUUUUAUUAAUAGGCUUUACUUUGUAGAGCACUUUUAAGUUCACAGAAAAAUUGAGUGAAAGAUACAGAGACUUUCCAUGUAUCCUUGCCCCUCACUCAACAAACACAAUGUCCCCAUUAUCAACAUCUCCCACCAAAAUGACGCGUUUGUUACAAUCAAUGAACCUGCAUUGACAGAUCAUUAUAACCCAGAGUCCAUAGUUUGCAUUAGGGUGACUUUUCAAAAACUCAAUUAAAUUUUGGCUCAAAGACAUAGGACAAAAGGAAGUCCGAUUAUCUAGAAAAGUUUCGAACAGAUUCAAGAAUUCACAGGGGU